UACGGGGGGAGCAAGCGUUGUUCGGAUUUACUGGGCGUAAAGGGCGCGUAGGCGGUCAGCACAAGUCAGUUGUGAAAUCUCCGGGCUUAACUCGGAAAGGUCAACUGAUACUGUGCGACUAGAGUGCAGAAGGGGCAACUGGAAUUCUCGGUGUAGCGGUGAAAUGCGUAGAUAUCGAGAGGGACACCUGCGGCGAAGGCGGGUUGCUGGGCUGACACUGACGCUGAUGCGCGAAAGCCAGGGGAGCGAACGGG
rnacentral:rRNA from 1 species